UACGAGAGGCCCAAACGUUAUUCGGAAUUACUGGGCUUAAAGAGUUCGUAGGCGGCAUUGCAAGUAGGGUGUGAAAGCCCUCGGCUCAACCGAGGAAUUGCGCUCUAAACUGCAGUGCUCGAGGAAGCUAGAGGUGAGCAGAACAGAUGGUGGAGCGGUGAAAUGCGUUGAUAUCGGAAGGAACGCCCGUGGCGAAAGCGAGGUCCUGGACGCCUACUGACGCUGAGACGCGAAAGCCAGGGGAGCGAACGGG
rnacentral:rRNA from 1 species